GUUUGAUCCUGGCUCAGAACGAACGCUGGCGGCAUGCUUCAUACAUGCAAGUCGAACGGUUGUAGCAAUACAAUAGUGGCGAACGGGUGCGUAACACGUGGAUAAUCUGCCCUUUGGCGGGGGAUAUCGGCUGGAAACGGCCGGCAAUACCGCAUGUGGCCUACGGGAUUCCGAUCCUGUAGAAGAAAGGCGCUUCACGGCGUCGCCAGAGGAUGAGUCCGCGGCCCAUUAGCUAGUUGGUGAGAUAAUAGCCCACCAAGGCUGUGAUGGGUAGCCGAGCUGAGAGGUUGAUCGGCCACACUGGGACUGAGACACGGCCCAGACACCUACGGGUGGCAGCAGUAGGGAAUAUUGGACAAUGGGGCGAAAGCCUGAUCCAGCAAUGCCGCGUGAGUGACGAAGGAUUUCGGUCUGUAAAGCUCUUUUGUGAGGGAAGAAAGUGACGCGUGAGGAAUGCUCGCGUCUUGACGGUACCUCAUGAAUAAGGGACGGC
rnacentral:rRNA from 1 species